rnacentral:rRNA from 1 species
CACGUAGGGCGCGAGCGUUGUCCGGAAUUAUUGGGCGUAAAGAGCUCGUAGGCGGCCUGUUGCGUCCGCUGUGAAAGCCCGGGGCUUAACCCCGGGUCUGCAGUGGAUACGGGCAGGCUAGAGGUAGGUAGGGGAGAAUGGAAUUCCCGGUGUAGCGGUGAAAUGCGCAGAUAUCGGGAGGAACACCGGUGGUGUAGACGGCUUUCUGGACCGUAACUGACGCUGAGACACGAAAGCGUGGGUAGCAAACAGG